rnacentral:rRNA from 1 species
ACGGAAGGCAGCAGUGGGGAAUAUUGGGCAAUGGGCGAAAGCCUGACCCAGCAACGCCGCGUGAGGGAAGAAGGUUUUCGGAUUGUAAACCUCUGUCCUUGGUGAGGAAGAAAGUGACGGUAACCGGGAUAGGAAGCCACGGCUAACUACGUGCCAGCAGCCGCGGUAAUACGUAGGUGGCGAGCGUUGUCCGGAUUUACUGGGUGUAAAGGGAGCGCAGGCGGGACAGCAAGUUGGAUGUGAAAUACCGAGGCUUAACUUCGGAGCUGCAUCCAAAACUGCCGUUCUUGAGUGAAGUAGAGGUAGGCGGAAUUCCGAGUGUAGCGGUGAAAUGCGUAGAUAUUCGGAGGAACACCGGUGGCGAAGGCGGCCUACUGGGCUUUAACUGACGCUGAGGCUCGAAAGUGUGGGGAGCAAACAGGAUUAGAUACCCUGGUA